rnacentral:rRNA from 1 species
GACGAACGCUGGCGGCGUGCUUAACACAUGCAAGUCGUACGGUAAGGCCCUUUCGGGGGUACACGAGUGGCGAACGGGGGAGUAACACGUGUGUAACCUUCCCACGACGUGGGGAUAACGGUAGGAAACUGGGGCCAAUUCUGGAAAUCUUCUUCUGCGGCAUGGUGGGGGUUGGUAAGCUCCGGCGGUUUUGGAUGGGCUCGCGUCGGAUCAGCUAGUUGGUGGGGUAGAGGCCUACCAAGGCGGCGACCGGUAACUGGCCUGAGAGGAUGAGCAGUCACACGGGAACUGAGACACGGUCCAGACUCCUACGGGAGGCAGCAGUGGGGAAUAUUGGACCAUGGGCGAAAGCCUGAUCCAGCCAUGCCGCGUGUGUGAAGAAGGUCUUCGGAUUGUAAAGCACUUUAAGUUGGGAGGAAGGGCAGCAAGUUAAUACCUUGCUGUUUUGACGUUACCAACAGAAUAAGCACCGGCUAACUUCGUG